GUCCUAGAGGAAUUAGAACUGCAUGAUCAAAGUGUCAGACUUGUCCAUCAAAUCUCCUAUUUUUCUAAGUCAUGUGAAAACUUACCAGAGUUCUUCAGUUACUGUAUCAAUCUAGCAAUCAAAGCAAUUGGUUCUCUCUAGCAAAGAGCAUCGUAGCUGGCUCAGAUGUGAUCAAAGGUGAGGCAUCAAUUAAAGAUGGCUUCUUCCCUAACCAAGAUGCUGAAGAAGGAAACCAGGUGAGCCCUUUCAGAUGGAAAACGUUGGUCCAUGACAUCCAG
rnacentral:lncRNA from 1 species